AAAGGAAUUGACGGGGGCCCGCACAAGCAGCGGAGCAUGUGGUUUAAUUCGAAGCAACGCGAAGAACCUUACCAGGUCUUGACAUCCAGUAAAAACUGUCGAGAGGCAGUGUCCCUUCGGGGGUACUGAGACAGGUGGUGCAUGGUUGUCGUCAGCUCGUGUCGUGAGAUGUUGGGUUAAGUCCCGCAACGAGCGCAACCCUUAUUUUUAGUUACUAACAGGUAAAGCUGAGGACUCUAAAGAGACUGCCGGGGACAACUCGGAGGAAGGUGGGGACGACGUCAAAUCAUCAUGCCCCUUAUGACCUGGGCUACACACGUGCUACAAUGGCUACUACAAAGAGGAGCAAGCCCGUAAGGGGGAGCGGAUCUGAGAAAAGUAGUCCCAGUUCGGAUCGUGGGCUGCAACCCGCCCACGUGAAGUCGGAGUUGCUAGUAAUCGCGGAUCAGCAUGCCGCGGUGAAUACGUUCCCGGGCCUUGUACACACCGCCCGU
rnacentral:rRNA from 1 species